ensembl:snRNA U7 U7 small nuclear RNA
AAGGGUUACGGUUCUUUUAGAAUUUGUACAUCAGGUUUUCUGGUUUGUGCCAGAAAGCCCCU